UACAGAGGAUGCAAGCGUUAUCCGGAAUGAUUGGGCGUAAAGCGUCUGUAGGUGGCUUUUUAAGUCCGCCGUCAAAUCCCAGGGCUCAACUCUGGACAGGCGGUGGAAACUACCAAGCUGGAGUACGGUAGGGGCAGAGGGAAUUUCCGGUGGAGCGGUGAAAUGCGUAGAUAUCAGGAGGAACACCGGCGGUGUAGACGGCUCUCUGGACCGUAACUGACGCUGAGAUACGAAAGCGUGGGUAGCAAACAGG
rnacentral:rRNA from 1 species